UUUCCGUAGGUGAACCUGCGGAAGGAUCAUUAAUGAUUUUUUUAAGCGAUCCGAGCGAUAAAAAGCGAGGAUUGCGAAAUAUUUAAAACCCCACUCUUUUAUUAAACUAUUAUGAAAACGUGAAUUUUUUUUAAAAAGAUCACUUUCAACAACGGAUCUCUUGGCUCUCGCAUCGAUGAAGAACGCAGCGAAAUGCGAUAAGUAGUGUGAAUUGCAGAAAUUGUGAAUCAUCGAAUCUUUGAACGCAAAUUGCACUCUCUGGUAUUCCGGGGAGUAUGCCUGUUUGAGGGUCGUUAGAAAAAAAUCGAAGCGUCGCUCUUUAUGAAAAAUAUUUAAUAUAUUUCGUUCUGGGUGAUCGCGUCGAAAUUGAGCCGUCUUUCAUAUGUUUUAUUCAUGUCAAAGUGGCUUAAAAUUCAUCAAUCUGGUACGAUUUAAAGCGUAUUUUUUAAGAUCAUCAUUUUGAUUAAGAACGACCGCUUGAAGACGUAUCAUCUCAUGUAGUACGUUCGACCUGCUUUGUCAGGCUCAUUCGUAUACGACAACUCAACUUUUGACCUCAA
rnacentral:rRNA from 1 species